rnacentral:lncRNA from 1 species
CUCUCUAGCUAAACUCCUUGGCUAAUGGCCUGCAUGAUCUUAACUUCAUUCCGGAAAUACUGGUUAAGAGGAUUUGGGACAGGCCAUUUGGAGGCUGGUGAACCUGACAACUUACACAACCUACAUUUGCAAAGCCCAGUUAUUUUCUGACUAAUGGGUCAGAAAGAGGGGGCAGAAGAGGAGAGAGAAAUCUUCACCAAACAAACAGCCAGGCCAUCUGGGUGGAGUUGCUUAAGGCAGUCACAAAAAAAUGAUCACAUCAUUUACCUCUCAUUUAACAAGGGCAGAGCAGGGAUACUAGCUGUGAGACACUUCUGCUCCGGGAAAGGGCAAGAAUCUUCUGUUCCAUAUGCAACAUCUUCUGGCAGCCUUGUCCUUUUUCUGUCCUUGACGACUACAAUAACAAACAGCUGUUGCCGAGGCAUUGCUGUUGACGUGUUACCUUUGAAACCUCCCUCCUGUUAUGGAAUAAGCCUCUUCCAGAUCAUGGCUCAUUAUCAUCUAGUCUGACAAGCAGCCUUGUUGCCACGGAGACCCAAAGGGAUCAGGCGUGGCAUUUGCCUGCAUCAUCACCCCCUCCAGGGGAACUAUAAGGACUCUUCUGUGCGUCAUGCGUGGCUGUCCUGGGACUGGCUGCCACCAGACUUUUCCUGCGGGUAAAACCUAAACAAAUGAUCAGCUGCAGAUAAUAUCAAGACCUCUGUUUGAUAUGUUAAUAGUGACAGCCAGAUUUCCACAAUUAACAACGAGGUGGGAAGAAAACACUGUAGUCACCAGACUUGGGAGGAGAGGGUUUGUAUUCACAUAAACACAACCUCACGUCACUGCUUGCCACCACAAAGGGCUCUGUUCACUGUUUUGUUCUCAAAGAUCAUCCUUGCGCUCAUCCUCUGAUCUUGAAUUUCUACAUAACUUUCUCAGUUUAUAUGCCCUGUGGCAAGUGCAGCAAGCACUGUUUCCUGUUUCUAAACUUGUAGAAAAUCAUCCAUACAUCUUACAGUUGUCAGUUUUAACCAGAUAACAGUGGCACUUUGUUGCUGCUUUUUUAUCUUUAGCUUAGGUUAACAGGACCCUGGAAGUAAAGUUGUUGAUUUAUUCAAUAGAGUAUUCUCAAUUAAUUUGGCUAGAUUUCUACAUGAUUCAAAAUCUAAAAAAGUAGAAAUGCAUGCUUACAUGUCUAAGGCCUGAAAAAUUGGUAGUGACAUCCCAAAAUAAAUGAAGGUUUUAAAACAAUAAAUGAUCUCUUUUUUUUUUUUUGCUUCUGUGCUUGGGGAGAAGCAAUGAAGGAAACAACAAUGUUGCUUUAAGGAGUGAGGACCCCAAAAAUAAGAAUAUAUAAUUAUGACAGAUAGGGCAUAGGGCGUUGUUCAGAAUUGAUGGGGCUGGUGCACACACAAACAUUUUAAUAGUUCUAAUACUUUGUGUACACUCUUGCGAUGAAGUGAUGACUUCAUUAAUUGAUUGAAUAAUAUUUAUGCAAUGCUACUAUGUGCUAGCUAUAGAACUAAGCUUAGUCUCUUAAGAUCUUAACAUUCUGAAACUAUUAAAAUGUAUAAUCACCAUUUGUAAAAGUAAAUAUACUAAUCUAAUAAUUUGGAAUGUACAUUACAGUAAAAAAAAAGCAGGGGAACAUCCUGUAAAAUGUCACUCAGAGAUAACCACCACUUACAGAGUGAAGUAUAUUCCUGCUUUUUGCGGAUAGUGUGUGCGUAUAUAUGUUUAAGCAAAGCUAACAAUAUACUAUUUUUAUAAUUGGCAUUUACUUUUUCUUUUGCUUAACUUUAUAUCAUAACCUCUUUCCCACAUCAUUACAAACUCUUCAUAAAUAAUCUUACAAAUGGUUAUGUAAUAUUUAUCUUAUUUGUAACACAUACUAUCUUCUUUUUUUCAUCAACACACUGCAUGGAUAACAGAUUUAUUUUUUAAGUCAAAAAUCUUUCUUGGCUACACUAACCAAUGUUUUUGGUUUUUGUUUUGUUUUGUUUUGUUUUGAGACAGAGUCUCACUCUGUCUCCCAGGCUGGAGUGCAGUGGUGUGACCUCGGCUCACUGCAACCUCCGCCUCCUGGGUUGAAGCGAUUCUUCUGCCUCAGCCUCGCAAGUAGCUGGGAUUACAGGCAUGUGUCACCAUGCCUGGCUAAUUUUUGUAUUUUUAGUAGAGAUGGGGUUUCACCAUGUUGAUCAGGCUGGUCUCAAACUCCUGACCUCAAGUGAUCCACCCUCCACGGCCUCCCAGAGUGCUGGGAUUAUAGGUGUGAACCACCACGCCUGGCCACUAACCAAUGUUCCUUAGAAAAGUUAACCUCAUUUGUGUUUGGGGAUGUCACUCCCGUUCUCUUGGAGAUACAAGUGCACACACACCACAACCCUUGGAGCCUGACAGGCCCAGACCAUAGAUGUGUGUCCAACACGAUGACCUUUCCUCAUUCCCUUGUGGGUCCUCCUGAUGGGCCAGGUCUUCAUGUUUUUACUGAUGAAUUCAAGACCCAGCACUUCGGAUUCAGUGUCCCUCAACACUGCCACAUAGCCAUCCUCCCAUGUGCUUCCUGGUGGUGGGUCACUCCCUAACACCAUUAUGAGCACCUAAUAUGUGUCAAACACUGAUCUAGAACAGAAACCAAACACAAGACAAAUAAAAUUCUUUUUUUUUUUUUUUUGAGAGAGAGUCUCGCUCUGUCACCCAGGCUGGAGUGCAGUGGUGCAAUCUUGGCUCACUACUACAACCUCCGCCUGCCAGGCUCAAGAAAUCCUCUCACAUCAGCCUCCCAAGUAGCUGGGACCACAGAUGUGCACCACCAUGUCCAACUAAAUUUUUGUACUUUUGGUAGAGAUGGGAUUUCACCACAUUGGCCAGGCUGGUCUCGAACUCCUGGCCUAGGGUGAUCCUCGGCCUCCCAAAGUGCUGGGAUUACAGGUGUGAGCCACCACACCCAUCUGCAAGGCAGAUAUAAUUCUUACCCUUGCAGAACUUACAGUCUUGGAGGAGAUAAGCAUUUAAUCAAGUAAUUAUGACAUUUGCUACAAGAGUUCAUAGCAGAGGGGACUUAACCAGCGUAGGUGACAUUUAAACUAAAAAUGUGAAAAACCUGUGAAAUUAAUCAGAAGAAGAGGAGGAAAGCAACUCCACUGUGUUUCCUGCUAGGUCUCAUCUUCCCAACAGAUGCUUGGACUCUCUUCAUCGCCACUUUGAAAUAUGAGGACACUCUUAAUUUAGGUCAAAUUUUUUUCCUCCUGGACUUGCAAUAUGUUGUUUCCUUUUUCUGGAACACAUUAUGAUACUUCCUUGAAACGGCAAGAUUCUUUUAUUCCCAUUGUUUCUGCUUCUUGAAGUAUUAAUCAGAAUAUUUCAUCUGCCAUCCCCUUCUGCUUACUUUCACAUAGUUUUCAGGAGUUAGUUUAAAUGUCACCCCCCUCUGGUUAGGUGCCUCUGCUAUGCAUUCCUGUAACAAGUGUAAUAAUUACUUAAUUCAAUGUAUAUCUCCUCCCAACCUGCAGUUCCUCCCAGUAUUGGAAGGAUAAGAAUCAUAACUGGUUUGUGUUUGGUGUCUGUUCUAGCUCAUUGUUUGACACAUAUUAGGUGCUCAAAAAAUAUUGAAAUGAAUAGUAGGCAUUUAGGGUGUUCCGUUUUUUUUUUAAUAAGCAAUGAUGAAAUGAACAUCUUUUAUGCAUGAUGUCCAUAUUUUGGAAUUUUUAAAUUACUUUCUGAUGAUAAGUUCUUGGAAGCAGAAUUACUAGGUCAAAGGAUACAAACCCUUAGAGUCCUCUUGGGAAACAGCACAUUGCUUUCCAGAAAGUUUUAUACUCCUGCAAGCAGUUUAUGAGAUUUCCUGUUUCAUUGUGCUCUUAUCAACAUGAUUAGGCAAAGAAAUUAUUUUUGCUAACUUGAUAGUAAGAAAAAUUACUCUACUACUGUUUCAAUUUUGCCUUUGUUAAGUAACAAGAUGAACAUUUUCCAUCUGUUUUUUAUUUAUUUAUAUUUGCUGUAUUGUGAGUUGUCUUGUGUCCUUUGUCCAUUUCUAUUCUGAAAUCUUCAUGUUUUUCGAAUCAAUUUUUAUAAGCUCUAUGUUUCAGAAGAUAUUAGAUGAUUAUCUCUUAUUUUUUACUGUAGAUCUUUCUAUGUAGAUGUUUGUAUUUUAGUCUGUGCCCUUCUUAAUGUUCAGAAGUUUACCAUUUUUCUGUGGUCAGGUCUGUUAUCAUUUCCCAUGGGAUUUCUUACAUGACAAACUCACAGUGCUCUUCAACAGCAGUGAUUAAAUAAAUAUUCAGCUAUUUUUGGCAUGUAUACAGUUUUAUUUCUUUGCCUAUGUGUGUGUGUGUGCACGUGUGGUGUGUGUGUGUGCAUGUGCGUGUACUUGUGUAUGUGCAUUUAUGUGCACAUGUACUUGAGUCUCAUCCACUGAUAAUUUAAUUUGUCAUUUGGCAGGAGGGGAG